UUAUGCUAAUAAGAGCGUAUGGUGGAUGCCUUGGCACUAAGAGCCGAUGAAAGACGUGAUAAGCUGCGAAAAGCUUCGGGGAGGAGCAAAUAUCCAUUGAUCCGGAGAUUUCUGAAUGGGGAAACCUACUUGAGAAGACCUCAAGUAUCCACAGCCCAAUCCAUAAGCUGUGGAAGGGAACCCGGUGAACUGAAACAUCUAAGUAGCCGGAGGAAGAGAAAACAACAUGUGAUUCCGUAAGUAGCGGCGAGCGAACGCGGAAGAGCCCAAACCGGAGUGCGUGCACUCCGGGGUUCGGACUGCAGGAUUGACGAGUGAGCCUAGUAGAAUGGUUUUGGGAAAGCCAGCCAGAGAGGGUGAAAGCCCCGUACACGAAAGGCAAGCGAGCAUGGCAGGAUCCAGAGUACCACGAGACACGUGAAACCUUGUGGGAAUGAGCGGGGACCACCCCGUAAGGCUAAAUACUCCUUAGUGACCGAUAGCGCAUAGUACUGUGAAGGAAAGGUGAAAAGGACCCCGGGAGGGGAGUGAAAGAGAACCUGAAACCAUAUGUUUACAAGCUGUGGAACAUCUUUAUAUGAUGAACCGCGUACUUUUUGUAGAACGGUCCGGCGAGUUACGCUGGCUGGCGAGGUUAAGGGCUGAAGGCCUGGAGCCGAAGGGAAACCGAGUCUGAACAGGGCGAAAUAGUCAGUCGGAGUAGACCCGAAACCGGGUGAUCUAUCCAUGUCCAGGUUGAAGUUGCCGUAAAAGGCAAUGGAGGACCGAACCCACAUCCGUUGAAAAGGGUGGGGAUGAGGUGUGGAUAGGGGAGAAAUUCCAAUCGAACCCGGAGAUAGCUGGUUCUCCUCGAAAUAGCUUUAGGGCUAGCCUCAUGCAAGUCUUACGGAGGUAGAGCACUGAAUUCCUAAGGGGGCGUCAAAGCUUACCAAGGGAUAUCAAACUCCGAAUGCCGUGUAGAUGGUGCAUGGGAGUCAGACUAUCCGAGAUAAGUUGGGUAGUCAAAAGGGAAAGAGCCCAGACCUACAGCUAAGGUCCCAAAAUGUGUGUUAAGUGGAAAAGGAUGUGGGAUUUCGAAGACAACUAGGAUGUUGGCUUAGAAGCAGCCAUCCAUUAAAAGAGUGCGUAAUAGCUCACUAGUCGAGAGGUCCUGCGCCGAAAAUGUCCGGGGCUGAAACACACUACCGAAGCUUGGGAAUUGACGAAUGUUAAUUGGUAGAGGAGCAUUCUUAACGGGGCGAAGCUGUACCGGAAGGAGCAGUGGACUGUUAAGAAGAGAGAAUGCCGGAAUGAGUAGCGAGAGGAAGGUGAGAAUCCUUCCGGCCGAAUAUCUAAGGUUUCCAGAGUAAAGCUGAUCUGCUCUGGGUAAGUCGGGGCCUAAGGCGAGGUCGAAAGACGUAGUCGAUGGAUAACAGGUAAAGAUUCCUGUACUGUAUCAUAACAGAACUGUGGGGACGCAGACAGAGAGCAUAAGCCGGGAAUGGAAAAACCGGUACAAGCGAGGUAGGAGUGCAUCAGGCAAAUCCGGUGCACAAUCUGAAGACGUGAUGUGGGGCGUAAAGCCGGAAGUAUGUGAGCUGGCUGCCAAGAAAAGCCGCUAUUGUUUAUGAUAUACCCGUACCGUAAACCGACACAGGUGGAUGAGGAGAGAAUCCUAAGGCCGACGGGAGAAGCAUUGUUAAGGAACUCGGCAAAAUGACUCCGUAACUUCGGGAGAAGGAGUGCCAUGUAAAAGUGGCCGCAGAGAAUUGGCCCAAGCAACUGUUUAGCAAAAACACAGGUCUAUGCAAAACCGAAAGGUGAGGUAUAUGGGCUGACGCCUGCCCGGUGCUGGAAGGUUAAGGGGAGAGGUUAGUCGUAAGGCGAAGCUUUGAACUUAAGCCCCAGUAAACGGCGGCCGUAACUAUAACGGUCCUAAGGUAGCGAAAUUCCUUGUCGGGUAAGUUCCGACCCGCACGAAAGGCGUAAUGAUUUGGGCACUGUCUCAACAAUGCACCCGGUGAAAUUGAAAUACCAGUGAAGAUGCUGGUUACCUGCGCCAGGACGGAAAGACCCCAUGGAGCUUUACUCCAGCUUGAUAC
rnacentral:rRNA from 1 species